CCCGAAACCAAGCCAAGCAAGUGUACCGUCAACAAGACAAUCGUUCCGGCAAGGAACAGAAUCAAGUACUCUGCUAGUCAGUUGAGGCAACUGGAGAAGGUAUUCGUGUCCUCUCAGUAUCCUGACAGCUCCAUCUUGGAGGAUCUCUCCAACACCAUCAACAUCGACGUAGAGAGACUAUCGAUCUGGUUCCAGAACCGCCGUUCCAAGUUCAAGCGUCAGUCUAAAGGUGCUCACGUGAACUGGAUGAG